AGAGUUUGAUCAUGGCUCAGGAUGAACGCUAGCGGCAGGCUUAACACAUGCAAGUCGAGGGGCAGCACGAGUAGCAAUGCUUGGUGGCGACCGGCGCAAGGGUGCGUAACGCGUGAGCAACAUGCCCGUAUCAGGGGGAUAAUCCAGGGAAACUUGGUCUAAUACCCCAUAGUAAUCAUAUCAGGCAUCUGGUAUGAUUUAAAGCUUAGGUGGAUACGGAUUGGCUCGCGUGACAUUAGCUAGAUGGUAAGGUAACGGCUUACCAUGGCUAUGAUGUCUAGGGGUUCUGAGAGGAAGGUCCCCCACACUGGAACUGAGACACGGUCCAGACUCCUACGGGAGGCAGCAGUGAGGAAUAUUGGACAAUGGAUGGAAAUCUGAUCCAGCCAUGCCGCGUGCAGGAAGAAUGUCCUAUGGAUUGUAAACUGCUUUUGUAUGGGAGCAAUAAGGUCUUCGUGAAGGCCGAUGAGAGUACCAUACGAAUAAGCACCGGCUAACUCCGUGCCAGCAGCCGCGGUAAUACGGAGGGUGCAAGCGUUAUCCGGAUUUAUUGGGUUUAAAGGGUGCGUAGGCGGUUAUAUAAGUCAGCGGUGAAAUUUUUCGGCUCAACCGGAAACAUGCCGUUGAUACUGUAUAGCUUGAAUAUGGUUGCUGUGAGUGGAAUGUGUAGUGUAGCGGUGAAAUGCUUAGAUAUUACACAGAAUAUCGAUUGCGAAGGCAACUCACAAGGCCAUUAUUGACGCUGAGGCACGAAAGUGUGGGGAUCAAACAGGAUUAGAUACCCUGGUAGU
rnacentral:rRNA from 1 species